GAUGAACGCUAGCGACAGGCUUAACACAUGCAAGUCGAGGGGCAGCGGGGAUGAAGCUUGCUUCAUCCGCCGGCGACCGGCGCACGGGUGAGUAACACGUAUGCAACCUGCCCCUGGCUGGGGGAUAAGCCGGAGAAAUCCGGUCUAAUACCGCGUAACAUCCUUACGGGACAUCCCGUUAGGAUCAAAGGAAGCGAUUCCGGCCAGGGAUGGGCAUGCGGCGCAUUAGCUAGUCGGCGGGGUAACGGCCCACCGAGGCGACGAUGCGUAGGGGUUCUGAGAGGAAGGUCCCCCACACUGGUACUGAGACACGGACCAGACUCCUACGGGAGGCAGCAGUGAGGAAUAUUGGUCAAUGGGCGCGAGCCUGAACCAGCCAAGUCGCGUGAGGGAAGACGGUCCUAUGGAUUGUAAACCUCUUUUGCCGGGGAGCAAGCUGGGUCACGUGUGACCCAGCUGAGAGUACCCGGAGAAAAAGCAUCGGCUAACUCCGUGCCAGCAGCCGCGGUAAUACGGAGGAUGCGAGCGUUAUCCGGAUUUAUUGGGUUUAAAGGGUGCGUAGGCGGACUGUCAAGUCAGCGGUAAAAUUGAGAGGCUCAACCUCUUCCCGCCGUUGAAACUGGUGGUCUUGAGUGGAUGAGAAGUACGCGGAAUGCGUGGUGUAGCGGUGAAAUGCAUAGAUAUCACGCAGAACUCCGAUUGCGAAGGCAGCGUACCGGCAUCCAACUGACGCUGAGGCACGAAAGCGUGGGGAUCAAACAGGAUUAGAUACCCUGGUAGUCCACGCAGUAAACGAUGAAUGCUAGGUGUCCGGGUCGAGUGAGGCCUGGGUGCCACAGCGAAAGCGUUAAGCAUUCCACCUGGGGAGUACGCCGGCAACGGUGAAACUCAAAGGAAUUGACGGGGGCCCGCACAAGCGGAGGAACAUGUGGUUUAAUUCGAUGAUACGCGAGGAACCUUACCCGGGCUCAAACGUCGGAGGACGGAGAGUGAAAGCUUUCUUUCCCACGGGACUUCCGACGAGGUGCUGCAUGGUUGUCGUCAGCUCGUGCCGUGAGGUGUCGGCUUAAGUGCCAUAACGAGCGCAACCCCCAUCGCCAGUUGCUAACAGGUCAAGCUGAGGACUCUGGCGAGACUGCCGGCGCAAGCUGUGAGGAAGGCGGGGAUGACGUCAAAUCAGCACGGCCCUUACGUCCGGGGCGACACACGUGUUACAAUGGCGGGGACAGCGGGAAGCCACCUGGCGACAGGGAGCGGAACCCGAAACCCCGUCUCAGUUCGGAUUGGAGUCUGCAACCCGACUCCAUGAAGCUGGAUUCGCUAGUAAUCGCGCAUCAGCCACGGCGCGGUGAAUACGUUCCCGGGCCUUGUACACACCGCCCGUCAAGCCAUGGAAGCCGGGGGUGCCUGAAGUGCGUGACCGUAAGGAGCGCCCUAGGGUAAAACCGGUGACUGGGGCUAAGUCGUAACAAGGUAGCCGUACCGGAAGGUGCGGCUGGAACACCUCCUUUCUGGAGUCCGCGCGGACCGCGAAGUCCGCCGCUCCGGCAGGACACGCCUGGUUUCGGAAAAAACGAGGGCUCGGUACUGCUCGCACUGUCUAUUGACUCGGGGGAUUAGCUCAGCUGGCUAGAGCACCUGCUUUGCAAGCAGGGGGUCAACGGUUCGAAUCCGUUAUUCUCCACAAUCGAAAAAGAGCGAACAUUGACAUGAUGGAAGCCGAGACAGACCGCAAAGGUCUGAAUCGGAAAUCACGAGCAAAUCAAAAAAAACGUCAACCAAGACAAAAAGACAAUCUCGCGGGGAGCGAUCCCCGGCCGAAGGUAGUCUACGGAUUGCGACGAAAGAAGAUCAUAAAGGCACUUUCCUUGAAAAGAGAAAAGGAAAGGAGAGAAGGGCACAUGAAGGAUGCCUUGGCUCUCGGAGGCGAAGAAGGACGUGACAAGCUGCGAAAAGCCGCGCCCAGGGGCAAAUACCCGUUGAAGCGCGGAUGUCCGAAUGGGGCAACCCGGCGGAGCGAACCUCCGCCACCUGGCAUUGCCAGGGGCCAACCCGGGGAACUGAAACAUCUAAGUACCCGGAGGAAAAGAAAACAACAGUGAUUGCGCGAGUAGUGGCGAGCGAAAGCGCAGGAGCCCAAACCGGAGGUGUGGCAACGCACCGUCCGGGGUUGUAGGACCGCCGACAAAGGCACCCGCACAGGUUAGGGGAAAGUGCUGGAAAGCACUUCCACAGAGGGUGAAAGACCCGUACCCGAAAACGUGUGCGCAGCCGAGGCGGCACCUGAGUAGUGCGGAACACGAGAAAUUCUGCAUGAAUCCGCGGGGACCAUCCCGCAAGGCUAAAUACUACCGAGAGACCGAUAGCGAACC
rnacentral:rRNA from 1 species